UACGUAGGGUGCAAGCGUUAAUCGGAAUUACUGGGCGUAAAGCGUGCGCAGGCGGUUGUGCAAGACCGAUGUGAAAUCCCCGGGCUCAACCUGGGAAUGGCAUUGGUGACUGCACGGCUAGAGUGUGUCAGAGGGGGGUAGAAUUCCACGUGUAGCAGUGAAAUGCGUAGAGAUGUGGAGGAACACCGGUGGCGAAGGCGGCAUCCUGGACCAAGAUUGACGCUGAGGCGCGAAAGCCAGGGGAGCAAACGGG
rnacentral:rRNA from 1 species